AUGGAUCAAUUUGUGUCACGGGACGACUGUCUCUAUACGGACACAGACUCUGUAGUUUUACAGAAUCCUCUUCCCGAAUCUAUGAUAUCAGAUAGAGAGCUUGAAGCAUUGAAUAAGGGUAACACUAGCGAGGAUGAUUGUGUUGAUAAGAGUGACUCUGUAGAAGUGAAAGAUCCUGGGAAAGGAGGUAAUAAGAAAGAAGCUAAUAAGAAAGGAGGUAAUAAGAAAGGAGCUAAUAAGAAGGGAAGUGAUAAGAAUGGAAGUGAUAAGAACGGAAGUGAUAAGAAGAAAGGAGAUAAAGUCAAAGGAAAUCAAGAGAACGUUGAAGUCAAUAAAGGUUCUGGAAAGAAAGGAAAAGUCGAUAAAGGUUCUGGAAAGAAAGGGAAGUCAAUAAAGGAAAGAAAGUCAAUAAAGGUUCUGAAAGUGGAUCUAGUGAUAGUAAUUAUGAUGGUUCAAUUCCUCCGAGUGGAGGAGGCGGCCCCAAUGGUAGUGGUAAUAGUCCUCCUGGAGUAUGAUAGAGAUAUCAACAAGUUUUUGAUAACUCAUCGAACUCGACCGAGUGAUUAUGUGGUGCCUGUUUCUGUACAAGAACCUACUUCAAGGUUUACGUUCCUAGCUGGAAUUGGUUGGCCCCAUCUACCCCGUAUUUCAAGGUUUUCAUUCCCCAAUCCUAUUGGCUUUCACUAUAAGCGUACUAUUUCACUAUAUGAUAAGUUGGUAGAUCUACCAGAUUCUCUUGGCUUGGUAGGUAUGGCUUCCCUGACUAGAGAAGUGAUCUUCCGACACUUCAGGGAGCUCGGUGUUGGAUUCAAAUCUACGGAAAUCGUAUUGGACGCGUUUCGUAACGAUCCAACAUUUCGCGAUGUAGCAGAUAUUACUAAUUACAAUCCUAGAGAUGAGAUAGCUAAAGCGAGGUUCUGGGAUGGUCAAAGUGGUGUAGAGAAAAUAGUCUGUGUGGAUUCGAGUCAUAGUAUCCGGGAGGUACUGAGCCGGUAUGAAGGCGUUCUUUAUACAAGAUGGGACACCGAUGUCCUUCUAGCUUCAACACGCUAUGAUCCAUAUCAUCUUGACCGUCCACAAAUUCUAGACAUCUUAAGGCACGUAAAUCUAAGCGGAUGUAUUUUAGUGAUCGAACGUGGUGGUGGAGGCAUGGUCGUGAAGCCCGAGAAAUCUCAGAUAUUCCUCAGUGUAGAUGGCGAUGUUAGUAUCCCUCAACUAAGCGAAGGCGAGACUGAGUAUGAUAGUGAAUGA
rnacentral:rRNA from 1 species